CGCACAUGCGCGCAGCGUGAUCUCCGCCGCAUGUGAUGCAGUAGUUCCGGUUUAUCCAGCGCCAGUUAGUUACGGAGCUGACGGAGGCAGACCGUUCGGCCCAUUCUCAUGUUACCGACACUUGAAGUUUAAAUAGUCUCCGAUCCGAGCGCAGACGCAGUUGGCUGGAGCCCGGCGGCGGGGAGCGUGGGGACGGACACUCACCUUCUCAGAGAGUCCAGAGUCCGCUUUCCACCAGGGAGGCACGGUGACAGCCAGACCGGUUCACAACAGGACCUGGUCACAGUCAGACCGGUUCACAACAGGACCUGGUCACAGUCAGACCGGUUCACAACAGGACCUGGUCACAGCCAGACCGGUUCACAACAGGACCUGGUCACAGUCAGACCGGUUCACAACAGGACCUGGUCACAGUCAGACCGGUUCACAACAGGACCUGGUCACAGCCAGACCGGUUCACAACAGGACCUGGUCACAGUCAGACCGGUUCACAACAGGACCUGGUCACAGUCAGACCGGUUCACAACAGGACCUGGUCACAGCCAGACCGGUUCACAACAGGACCUGGUCACAGUCAGACCGGUUCACAGCCGGCGUGUCCAAGGCAGCGAAAGGCGAGCAAUAGGCCGGGAUCCAUGAAGAUCUCCAGGAAUCUCCGUCUCGGGGAGGAUGGAACAAGAUAAGGAGGACCGAUGGCGGAGUGAGGGGAGCAAGACGGUGCUCAGGGCAGGGCCGCAAGUGGACCCUUUACGGAGGGCAUUUAUAUAGAUCACAAACAGCAGCGGUCCCAGUACAGAUCCCUGCGGAACACCUGUAAUCACAGACCUCCAGCUUGAUCGUGAAGAAGGGUCUCAGCCUGAAAUGCUGGCUGUUCGUUCCUCUCCCUAGACGCUGCCUGACCUGCUGAGUUCUUCCAGCACUUUGUGUGUGUUACUUAUCUAUGGUGUCGGUUCAAGUCCCACCACAGGCCCUGUCAGUGACGAUUCCCCAGAACAGCCGGGUCACUGUUGCCUUCGCCUCUGUCUGAGUUCGGUUCACUCUCAGCGAAACCGUCAGUCACAGAGUUACAGCGGAGAGGGAGAAAUCAGCUUUAUUUGCCAGACAUGCAUCGAACAUGUAUUGUGCUCGACUGCAGACUGCUGCAACAUUCAUGGGCAAUAUUUUCUUUCAUGGGACUGUAUUUUACUGAUGUGGUUGCUUGCUCUCUAUAUGAGGUACUGUAUAUCUGCCUUUCCAGCUGUGGGUACUGUGUUUUGCACCCUGGCCCCGGAAAAACACUGUUUUGUUUGGCUGUAUUCAUGUUUAGUUGAAUGACAAUGAAGCUGAAUUUGAAGCAGUGAAAUGUGUUGUUUUGCGUCAGUGACAAACACAGGCUGAGGAUGUGCUGGGGGCAGCCUGCAAGUGUCGCCACGCUUCCGGUGACAACAUCGAAUGCUCACAACUCAUGAGCCCCAAACUGUCGGCCUCUGGAAUCUGGGAGGUAACUGGAGCACUCGGGAGAAACGCCGAGGCCAUAGGGAGAACGUACAAACUCAUCACCGACAGCUGGCACUGUAAUUCCUGAACUACCGUGCCGAUCUUCACAUCUGUCUGAGCUCAGUUCCCUCAGCAAAGCUCUGUCACAGUGUCGAAACAGGCCUUUCAGCACGUCAAGUCCACACCAGCCGUGCUUUGUUCUCCCCACACUCCCAUCGAUUCCUCCCCCACCAUCUGUUUCCCAAACUCCCAUCGACCGUCUGAUCCCCACACUCCCGUUGAUUCCUCCCAUUGACCAUCUGAUCCCCACACUCCCAUCAAUUCCUCCCAUUGACCGUCUGAUCCCCACACUCCUGUCGAUUCCUCCCAUUGACCGUCUGAUCCCCACACUCCCAUCAAUUCCUCCCAUUGACCGUCUGAUCCCCACACUCCCAUCGAUCCCUCCCAUUGACCGUCUGAUCCCCACACUCCCAUCGAUUCCUCCCAUUGACCGUCUGAUCCCCACACUCCCAUCGAUUCCUCCCAUUGACCGUCUGACUCCCACACUCCCAUCAAUUCCUCCCAUUGACCGUCUGAUCCCCACACUCCUGUCGAUUCCUCCCAUUGACCGUCUGAUCCCCACACUCCCAUCGAUCCCUCCCGUUGACCGUCUGAUCCCCACACUCCCAUCGAUCCCUCCCAUUGACCGUCUGAUUCCCACACUCCCAUCGAUUCCUCCCUCCACUGUAUGAUUCCCACACUCACCAGGAGGAAUGACUUCACUCAGAGGGUGGUGAGUGUAUGGAACGAGCAGGUGGUGGAUGCAGGUUUGGUUACAAUAUUUUAGAGAAGUUUGGAAAAGUACGUGGAUGGGAGGGGUGUCGAGGGCUGUGGUGGAGGUGAUGGCUAAAGGGACUAGACAGAGCAAUGGUUCAGUGUUGACUAGAUGGGCCAAAGGGCCUGUUUUUGUGCUUUAGUGCCCUAUGGCUCUGUGACUCUUGCUGAUGGGAUACCACGCCUCUUGUCUUAGGGCUCUGUUUCCCAAUUCCCACUGUAUAACCCAGGCCCAGACCCAACUGGACAUGAGGAAUUGAGGAUACCAUAUAAAAAAAAGCAUUUUGAACCUAUGUAACCUCUGGCUAAAAGAAUAAUUGGGACUGAAUAGAAAUUUUUGAACAGAAGUAAACUCUGCCUUCAGCAGUUAGCUAAGGCAGGCUCAGUACCAAUUCCCCUCGGUUUGCAGAGGGACAUUUGAGAGUUUGAUAACAUUGUACAUUGUGCCCUCGUUUGAGUAGGAGGAGGAGGACUCACCGAUAAGGACAGGAAGGAACAUUCAUCUGUAAUUAAGUCAGGGCCUAGCAAAGGGAAUAACUGAUAAGGACUGGACAGCACAACCUUCUGUCAUUAAGCUUUGAUUUAGCGGACUCUCUUAUCUAAGUAAUUGUGUUUUGCACCAACAGACUUGGUGGGCGUACCAAUUCAAAUAACAUCUUGCAACAGUAAUUUAUGGGGCUUACAAUGUAUAAGUAUACGGCUGUAACCGGAGAGAGUGGGCCCGCUUGUCGGAUAGUGGCAGUACUUACGUGCCUUCCCUUCGACAACUGGGUCUCAAACUCCUGCAGGAGGGUGUGCAAUAAAGUGUAACUAUAAGA